GGAAUAUUGGUCAAUGGACGGAAGUCUGAACCAGCCAUGCCGCGUGCAGGAAGACGGCCUUCUGGGUUGUAAACUGCUUUUAUCAGGGAAGAAUAAGCUUCUUGCGAGAGGUGAUGCCGGUACCUGAGGAAUAAGCACCGGCUAACUCCGUGCCAGCAGCCGCGGUAAUACGGAGGGUGCGAGCGUUGUCCGGAUUUAUUGGGUUUAAAGGGUGCGUAGGCGGCCCGUUAAGUCAUCGGUGAAAUCCCAGGGCUCAACCCUGGAACUGCCGUUGAUACUGGCGGGCUUGAGUUCGGUCGAGGCGGGCGGAACUGGUGGUGUAGCGGUGAAAUGCAUAGAUACCACCAAGAACCCCGAUUGCGAAGGCAGCUCGCUGGCCCGAAACUGACGCUGAGGCACGAAAGCGUGGGGAGCGAAC
rnacentral:rRNA from 1 species